GGGUUGUGAGGUUAAGCGACUAAGCGUACACGGUGGAUGCCCUGGCAGUCAGAGGCGAUGAAGGGCGUGCUAAUCUGCGAUAAGCGCCGGUAAGGUGAUAUGAACCGUUAUAACCGGCGAUACCCGAAUGGGGAAACCCAGUGUGACUCGUCACACUAUCAUUAACUGAAUCCAUAGGUUAAUGAGGCGAACCGGGGGAACUGAAACAUCUAAGUACCCCGAGGAAAAGAAAUCAACCGAGAUUCCCCCAGUAGCGGCGAGCGAACGGGGAGGAGCCCAGAGCCUGAAUCAGCAUGUGUGUUAGUGGAAGCGUCUGGAAAGGCGCGCGAUACAGGGUGACAGCCCCGUACACAAAAGCGCAUGUGCUGUGAGCUCGAUGAGUAGGGCGGGACACGUGGUAUCCUGUCUGAAUAUGGGGGGACCAUCCUCCAAGGCUAAAUACUCCUGACUGACCGAUAGUGAACCAGUACCGUGAGGGAAAGGCGAAAAGAACCCCGGCGAGGGGAGUGAAAAAGAACCUGAAACCGUGUACGUACAAGCAGUGGGAGCACAGGUUUACCUGUGUGACUGCGUACCUUUUGUAUAAUGGGUCAGCGACUUAUAUUCUGUAGCAAGGUUAACCGUAUAGGGGAGCCGGAGGGAAACCGAGUCUUAACCGGGCGUUAAGUUGCAGGGUAUAGACCCGAAACCCGGUGAUCUAGCCAUGGGCAGGUUGAAGGUUGGGUAACACUAACUGGAGGACCGAACCGACUAAUGUUGAAAAAUUAGCGGAUGACCUGUGGCUGGGGGUGAAAGGCCAAUCAAACCGGGAGAUAGCUGGUUCUCCCCGAAAGCUAUUUAGGUAGCGCCUCGUGAAUUCAUCUCCGGGGGUAGAGCACUGUUUCGGCUAGGGGGCCAUCCCGGCUUACCAACCCGAUGCAAACUGCGAAUACCGGAGAAUGUUAUCACGGGAGACACACGGCGGGUGCUAACGUCCGUCGUGAAGAGGGAAACAACCCAGACCGCCAGCUAAGGUCCCAAAGUCAUGGUUAAGUGGGAAACGAUGUGGGAAGGCCCAGACAGCCAGGAUGUUGGCUUAGAAGCAGCCAUCAUUUAAAGAAAGCGUAAUAGCUCACUGGUCGAGUCGGCCUGCGCGGAAGAUGUAACGGGGCUAAACCAU
rnacentral:rRNA from 1 species